UAGUGGCUACCUAACAGGCAGUGAAGCAUGAAGGAUUUUGCAUACAACAUAAUUGUAUAUGCAAAUAUGCCAUCAAGUCAAUAAUGAACAACCGAUUUGGUUAACCAUCUUCCAUCAAUUUUGCAUAUGCCAUCUAUAAUUGUUUGAAGAUACUAAUCUUUUAACUAAAGUUCUUAGGUUGAGAAGAGAAUCAUGCAUGUUAGGUGUUCCUUUUUCGCCUCCCGGAAAGAGUGAAAAAUUCCUGCUAAGAUGUCACCAUAGAGCUUAAAUACAUGAAUUCUUAUUCCUCCCUUCCUCCUGUACGUGCCCAACCCUUGUCAUUUCGUGUAUGGCAUCGUUUCAAGGUCUUCAUUGUCAUCGAUGAUGGGGAUGUUGGGCCUGGUGUCAACUGCACCAAGGAUGCCCCCACCGCAUCGCCUUCGAUGUCCGCUGUGGUUAUAUGAAAUGGGUUUGAGGAGAGCGACUAUGUACAACUCAUAGGCCACAGCUCAAGAACAAUGGUUAUGCCGAUUUUCACCAAUCAUGUAUUGAUGGUGUUAUUGCUGUCUUUAAGCUAGUGUUCAAUUAGUUUUCUUGCUAUCCAUGAAGCUAUGAUUUGUAAUUCAUGGUUGUUCGGCCUGCACACUUUGUAGUAAUCGGCUUUAACUUCUUUGAAGAAAAGACUAUGAUGAUUUCCAUAAUCUAAAAAAGACUUCAAUUUGGCACCUAUUGAAAAUUUUAACAAGAUUUAUUACUACCUCCGUUCCAAAAUAUAACAACUUUUAGCUAUGAAUCUGAACACACAAUUGUCUAGAUUCGUAGCUAGAAAUAGUUAUAUUUUGGAUGGAGGGAGUACCUACCAUAUCCUACCCAUGUACAUUGGAUACACAUAAGCUAGGAGUAGUAACAUAUGUAUCCUCCUACUUGUGAUUUACUUAUGUGUUAGAAAAGGCUGUUCUCUGGCCCAAUUUGGAACAAAUAAUUAGUCGGAAUAUUCUAGUAAAUUAUUUACAUGAUUAUUGAUAUAAAUUACUCCCUACGAUACAUCCCAAGCUAUGAAUCUGGUUGAAAUGAUUAUAUUUUGGGACAUAUGUAGUAAGAUAUUUUCAUAAAUAAACUUAAAAAAUAAUUUGGAACAAAGGAACUAAGCAAUGCGGUAGAACUCACCAAUUUUUUUUGGAAAAACAUAUUUUUAGAGUUGUAGAGCAGAUAAUCCACAACAACAACAUAAUAAAGUAGCUGAAAAGAACAUGGCCUUAGCUUGUUUCUAGAUAAUGGGUAAUGAACAUAACCGAUUAGCAUGAAAACAAUACUAGAAAAUGAACGCGCCAAUAACAAAAUUUUAUACAGUGAAUCAUGUUAAAUGCUGUUAUUUUAGACAUAUGCUGUGGGUUCUUUAGAAAUUAGUUUAAUUAUUUUAGACAUAUGUUAAGUGUCAAGCAUGAGCCGAAAACCUCCAAUGUUCUGGUUAUAAAAAUCUAGCAGUGUCAUAGUUAACUCUUAUCGCUAAAAGAAAUAACUUAUGAGUUAUAUUUUUAUAUAUGAUUCUAUGAUGCUGCCUUCUAUUUAUCAUGGGUGAGCGAUGCCAUAUAACCGAGGCUUCUCGCACCAUUACCCAUGGGGCAGGACCGCAGGAGCUUUUCGAGAAGCCUCGGCUUUAUUUCGGACUGUUUUUUUUUUUCAAAUAGUUUUUUUUUCUUCUCUGCAUUUUUUUUCUCGUAGAUAUUUCAGUUUUAUCUUCAAAGAUUAAGGUGAUACGUGAACCAAUAGGCUGGUCAGGAAUCAGCCAGCCCGAGAAUAAUUGAUAUGCGGAGAGAAAGCGAAAUAGAUAGUUUAGAUUAACCGAAUGAAUCUAACAAGUAGAUCAUCAAAGACCACUCAUUCCUAGAUGAUAGUUCUGAGCUCGAUGAGAAAGCUUCGGGAUUCGGGAAUGAUCAUAUCAAGGCUGCUGCAAGGAAAGUUGAAGAACUGGCAUGUAUUCAUCCUCUAACCAUAAAGUUUGAGGAAAUCCAAAUUCCUCAAUGUUUUCAUC